rnacentral:rRNA from 1 species
UACGAAGGGGGCGAGCGUUGUUCGGAAUUACUGGGCGUAAAGGGCGCGUAGGCGGUCCUCCAAGUCAGGCGUGAAAGCCCCGGGCUCAACCUGGGAACCGCGCUUGAGACUGGCGGACUCGAGUUCGGGAGAGGAUGGUGGAAUUCCCAGUGUAGAGGUGAAAUUCGUAGAUAUUGGGAAGAACACCGAUGGCGAAGGCAGCCAUCUGGACCGACACUGACGCUGAGGCGCGAAAGCGUGGGGAGCAAACAGG